AAGUGACUUUGUCCCUUGUUUCUUCCAAAGUUCCCAGCUUUACAGAAAGAAACUUUGCAGGGAAUCUCUUUGCGCUGAUGGGUUCCCCAAUUUGGGAUUUAUUGUUCAACUCCAUAGACGGAUGAGAUAUAAGGCAGGACUUCGUCUUCAUCAGCAAACGUCGAGGAGUGAUUUGUGCUCGCCACACUGAAUUAACCAGAGAAGCGUUAGGAAUCGACCUCCACAACAAGAACUUGAAAUCGACCUCCCCUUAUAAGCAAUCCAUUUUAUGAUUAACCAGAUUAAAGAAUCUAGGACAUGAAGAGCGUGCUUUUGUUGUGUUAAUGGUUUCAUGAAGGUCGAUGCUGAUUCAGGAAGACAUCCACAUCCAUGCUGUUUGGUGCGAAAAAAGCAUCACUUUUAAGACUUCAGAUUCUGAGCACAUAAGCAUCGAUACUCUUUUCAAGUCUUCCUUUUAAUAUUUCUGUAACCUUUCAACUGAGCUGCUUAAUGAUGUUUUGUGGUAGGGUAAAUUCUUUUAAGUAUAUAAAUGAAUGCUAAAACCAUAUAUGACUUCACUAGGAAAAGCAUUCUUUCAAUUAAAAUAAAUAAACUAAAUAGCAUGAAAAUCAAUUCAGUGUUAGUUGAUGAUUGAAUUGUUCAAUGAACAACGAUCAAGUACUGCACAUGUUGAAUACUUUAUAUGGACACAGUUGUAUUAUUAGAAGUCGCUAUCGCGACAACUAUUUUUAUACAGACUUUAACUUUAAAAAAACAGAGGAAGAUAUGGAUCUAAGGGGAAUGGAUUAUUCAUAUAUAAGUAUUUAUUGAUGAAUUUCUCUAAAACAUUUUAUGAAAGAUCGAAUGUAGAUAUUAAUAUGUUAAUCAAUAAGCAGUUACUAGGACAUGGAUGGGCUUAGCCAAGAACCAUUUUUGCAGCAAACCUGCACUAGGUUCAUAUUGGCCAUCUUUAUACAUGCACACGCGAGGGAAUAUGAGAAAUAUCUUGUGGACAACAGAACGUGAUUUGGUUAUAAGCUGAUAUCAUAACUUUGCAAGUUGAAGGAAUUAAUAUUGUUAGAAGAUUGCAAAUAGUCUUUUAAUUUCUUUCUUUCUUUCCAUUUUGCAGGCAGAAUAAGGUCUUUCUUUCAGUGAGAAAGAUGCAAAGGUAUCUUUAUGUCAGCCAGCAGUUGCAGUCAGUAAUAACUAACAAUUAGUAACUUGUUCGAGGACUGCUAGAGAGUUGAUCGAUGUAUUGAAUAGGGAUGAUCCGGGGAUUGAUAUCAUACUUGCUGAAGCUAAUCUGCUAGCAGCUAAUGAAGCGAAAUUGUUGAAGUAUAUUUUGCAUGAUAGAGAAAUGCAUCACAUUCCUGUCGUUGUUGUGUCGAGCCCGGAUGAGAUCUCUAUCAUUGUGAAAUGUUUGAGGUUUGGAGCGACUGAUUAUCUUCUCAUGCCUUUGAGUGACAAUGAACUGCUGAAUUUGUGGAUGUAUAAACAGCAGGCAAUCCAUACUAAUGCUGUUUGUGUUGCAGUUGGUCCAACUGGUAUGUGUAAACAUCUCGUCUUUCUUUUUCUCUCUCGAUCUUUUCCUCUCAUACGAAAUUUGGAUAUUUU